rnacentral:rRNA from 1 species
CGUGCAGGCGGUUCGGUAAGUUGGACGUGAAAGCUCCUGGCUUAACUGGGAGAGGCCGUUCAAUACUGCCGGACUUGAGGUUGGGAGAGGGACGUGGAAUUCCCGGUGUAGUGGUGGAAUGCGUAGAUAUCGGGAGGAACACCAGUGGCGAAGGCGGCGUCCUGGCCCACACCUGACGCUGAGACGCGAAAGCGUGGGUAGCGAACG